rnacentral:rRNA from 1 species
GAGGGUUUGAUCCUGGCUCAGGAUGAACGCUAGCUACAGGCUUAACACAUGCAAGUCGAGGGGAAACGGCAUUGAGUGCUUGCACUCUUUGGACGUCGACCGGCGCACGGGUGAGUAACGCGUAUCCAACCUUCCCAUUACUGUGGGAUAACCUGCCGAAAGGCAGACUAAUACCGCAUAGUCUUCGAUGACGGCAUCAGAUUUGAAGUAAAGAUUUAUCGGUAAUGGAUGGGGAUGCGUCUGAUUAGCUUGUUGGCGGGGUAACGGCCCACCAAGGCAACGAUCAGUAGGGGUUCUGAGAGGAAGGUCCCCCACAUUGGAACUGAGACACGGUCCAAACUCCUACGGGAGGCAGCAGUGAGGAAUAUUGGUCAAUGGACGGAAGUCUGAACCAGCCAAGUAGCGUGCAGGAUGACGGCCCUAUGGGUUGUAAACUGCUUUUGUAUGGGGAUAAAGUUAGGGACGUGUCCCUAUUUGCAGGUACCAUACGAAUAAGGACCGGCUAAUUCCGUGCCAGCAGCCGCGGUAAUACGGAAGGUCCAGGCGUUAUCCGG